UGGGAGGUGAGUCACAUACUGCUUCCAAAGAAUAAGCCAUGCAUGUCUAAGUAUAAGCAAUAUAUACUGUGAAACUGCGAUGGCUCAUAAAUCAGUUAUCGUUUAUUUGAUAGUACCUACUACUUGGAUAACCGUGGUAAUUCUAGAGCUAAUACAUGCUAAAAACCCCAACUUUUGAAGGGGUGUAUUUAUUAGAUAAAAAACCAAUGCCCUUCGGGGCUUUUUGGUGAUUCAUGAUAACUUAACGAAUCGCAUGGCCUUGCGCCGGCGAUGGUUCAUUCAAAUUUCUGCCCUAUCAACUUUCGAUGGUAGGAUAGUGGCCUACCAUGGUUUCAACGGGUAACGGGGAAUUAGGGUUCGAUUCCGGAGAGGGAGCCUGAGAAACGGCUACCACAUCCAAGGAAGGCAGCAGGCGCGCAAAUUACCCAAUCCCGACACGGGGAGGUAGUGACAAUAAAUACUGAUACAGGGCUCUUUUGGGUCUUGUAAUUGGAAUGAGUACAAUUUAAAUCCCUUAACGAGGAACAAUUGGAGGGCAAGUCUGGUGCCAGCAGCCGCGGUAAUUCCAGCUCCAAUAGCGUAUAUUAAAGUUGUUGCAGUUAAAAAGCUCGUAGUUGAACCUUGGGCCUGGCUGGCCGGUCCGCCUCACCGCGUGCACUGGUUUGGCCGGGCCUUUCCUUCUGGGAAGCCGCAUGCCCUUUACUGGGUGUGUUGGGGAACCAGAACUUUUACUUUGAAAAAAUUAGAGUGUUCAAAGCAGGCCUUUGCUCGAAUACAUUAGCAUGGAAUAAUAGAAUAGGACGUGCGGUCCUAUUUUGUUGGUUUCUAGGACCGCCGUAAUGAUUAAUAGGGGUAGUCGGGGGCAUCAGUAUUCAAUUGUCAGAGGUGAAAUUCUUGGAUUUAUUGAAGACUAACUACUGCGAAAGCAUUUGCCAAGGAUGUUUUCAUUAAUCAGUGAACGAAAGUUAGGGGAUCGAAGACGAUCAGAUACCGUCGUAGUCUUAACCGUAAACUAUGCCGACUAGGGAUCGGGCGAUGUUAUUAUUUUGACUCGCUCGGCACCUUACGAGAAAUCAAAGUCUUGGGUCUGGGGGAGUAUGCCCCCCCG
rnacentral:rRNA from 1 species